AGUGAACGCUGGCGGUAGGCCUAACACAUGCAAGUCGAACGGCAGCACAGUAAGAGCUUGCUCUUACGGGUGGCGAGUGGCGGACGGGUGAGGAAUACAUCGGAAUCUACUUUUUCGUGGGGGUUAACGUAGGGAAACUUACGCUAAUACCGCAUACGACCUACGGGUGAAAGCAGGGGAUCUUCGGACCUUGCGCGAUUGAAUGAGCCGAUGUCGGAUUAGCUAGUUGGCGGGGUAAAGGCCCACCAAGGCGACGAUCCGUAGCUGGUCUGAGAGGAUGAUCAGCGACACUGGAACUGGGACACGGUCAAGACUCCUACGGGAGGCAGCAGUGGGGAAUAUUGGACAAUGGGCGCAAGCCUGAUCCAGCCAUACCGCGUGGGUGAAGAAGGCCUUCGGGUUGUAAAGCCCUUUUGUUGGGAAAGAAAAGCAGCAGGUUAAUACCCCGCUGUUCUGACGGUACCCAAAGAAGAAGCACCGGCUAACUUCGUG
rnacentral:rRNA from 1 species